UGACUGUCACAAGAAUGACAUCAUCCUUCUCACAGGCCCCAGGAGGCAAGGUUGCAAGCACCAUGGAGCCAGUGCUUUAUAUUGCUGACAGGUAAAAUCUCAACAUCUUAAAGUGAUUGGGGGAGUACACAUGCCAGGACCUGUACACAGACGUAUUAUGAAUCACCACCUGGACAGGAAGAGGACUUGAACAUAGAUCUUCUGUCUCAGAGAUAUAACUCAGCUCAUCACUGGAAUUCAACUCUUCUGUCCCUGUUUGAACCAAGACAGGAAUGAGCAAACAUAGAUGUCAGGCUUACACCUAUCAGAACUAACACUGGCUCUGCUCAGCCAGGGUGUGAGCCCAGACCAGCAUGGAAACCAAUGUCCCAUCCAUGGACUCCAUUUACUCGUCUCAUUGCUGCGGAAAGGUUGCCAACAUCAUCAAAGACUCAUAG